AACCAGACUCCUACGGGAGGCAGCAGUGGGGAAUAUUGGGCAAUGGGCGCAAGCCUGACCCAGCAACGCCGCGUGAAGGAAGAAGGCUUUCGGGUUGUAAACUUCUUUUGUCAGGGAAGAGUAGAAGACGGUACCUGACGAAUAAGCCCCGGCUAACUACGUGCCAGCAGCCGCGGUAAUACGUAGGGGGCAAGCGUUAUCCGGAAUUACUGGGUGUAAAGGGAGCGCAGACGGCAGUGCAAGUCUGGAGUGAAAGCCCGUGGCUUAACCACGGGACUGCUCUGGAAACUGUGCAGCUAGAGUGCAGGAGAGGCAGGCGGAAUUCCUAGUGUAGCGGUGAAAUGCGUAGAUAUUAGGAAGAACACCAGUGGCGAAGGCGGCGUUCUGGACUGAAACUGACGCUGAGGCACGAAAGCGUGGGGAGCGAACAGGAUUAGAUACCCCUGUAUUC
rnacentral:rRNA from 1 species